GAAAUAGAAGAUAGACAGAUGAAAUUGCCCAAAUUUUCAUUAGGUCCAGGAUGGGUAUGGUAAUAGAAAGGUAUUUAAAAAAAAAAAAGGAAAAGAAAAAUAUGUAUUUAUAUUCACAUAUAUAAUGUCAUAUAUUUCAGGAUGAAGAAUGUCCAGCACCUGAACUUCUGAAUGCUGUGGGAAGCAGGACCUGAUCUCAGCUCUUCCUACCACAAUGAGAAGCUCACACUAGCUAAGGAUGGAACUGAAACCUAAUGAGGAAUCUUGUGCUGGCAGUGUUUCUUACCCAAAUGUGUCGGCUCGUGCAUUUCUGGGCAUCUGUGCUCAAUAUGAAGCACCUGCUCAUGUAAGUUUCUGAAGGAUCUGGAAGGAAUUACCAGUGACAGUUGUGAGGGGGAUGUACUCCAGCUUGGCGGGGUUGGUUUGUGCUUUGUUUCCACAUUGCCUCCUCCUAGCAAAGUGGAUGUGCUGGUGGCAUCCCCGGAUUUC
rnacentral:lncRNA from 1 species